AAAUUAUGUUCCUCUGACCCUCCUCGCUCUGCACAGAGCUUCAUCUUCUGGAACAGAUCCACCAAACGAGAGCCAGAAGAUGCAGCAGCCCAGGUCUAAUUUGUAUGCAGAGACCCUGGUCAGACAGGCAAAAUAUCUUUGUCCAAAAAACCUCAGAAUUGAAUAUCCAAACCCCUAUCUAGUUAGUGUGCUUCUUAGAAUACAAAUAGAAUUACAAAAUGUUUCAGUAAUCAAAAAGGGACAGCAUCGGCAAACAGUUGACAUCAAAAUUGUCUGCUCAUCAAAGAGGAAUGACAGAUCCUCCUUCAUCAACAUGUUUUCCUUAGGAAUGGUGCCAGGAUGCAGGGCAUAAGUGAGAGGACAGUUCCCUUGGUUAUGAGGUAACUAAAAAUAGCCACCUUUGAAAGCCAUCAGAGGUCACUUGUUUUGAAGAAAAUCAUCAGAAGAACUUUGAACUAUAAGAUAUUGACUAUUAAAUCAUGUUAUUUUCUUCAUUUGUCAAAGUUAUUGGGAUGUAGCAAAUACUUGAGACUUUGAAUUGAGUAGAUUUUGAGUAGAUUUAUGAAUGAAAUCAAAGGACACACAAAAACAGUGUAAUUCACCCAUCUGGAGACUCCACGUAUGAGUUUGAAAACUUUUAGUAUGUAUGCCAAUUAGUCCAUCCAGCCAAAUAGGCACAACAAUUUUCCGAUAAUAAGAAAAAUAAGACCAAGAAGCUAGCUGGAAUACUAAGAAAAACAACAGAGGGAGUUAAAUUCUUCAUUAAAAUUGACCACUUCUAGAGGCCUUGCAGGAAAUAUUAAAAUAAGUUCUUCAAUGAGAAUGAAAAUGAUAUAGGUCAGAAACUUGGAUCUGCAUGAAGAUACACCUUAAAAAAGGAAGAGCAUCAGAAAAAUGAAUAAGUGAAGGUCAAGUGCUGUGCUGUACUGAUUGAUAGAUUGUCUCCAGCAGGAAGUUUGACAAUGGACAACCUAGAAGCAGAUGUGCCUGAUAAAUGUAAAUGGUAGCUUCUUUGUGGCCCUUCCACCAGAAGUGAAGAAGCCUGGUGCAGAGCUUCUACUUGACCUAUGAUAGAUAUGCUGCUGGAGAAGAAAUCAACCUCCUGGUUCCCACCCAUAUCUUGCUCUGGUUAGUCACAAUCAGAAUCUUCACAACCACAAUCAGAAUCUUCCCACAGCCCUACCUGCAACACCUGCUUGUCUCUGCCAUUACAAUAUAAGGUAUGGUUUGAUUCUCUUAUGUACUGUGUUUGGUGCCCAUGCAGUCCCUCAUGAGUACCAGCUGAUUUUCUUCCGUGUGUGUAUAAACAAUAUCAUGUUCCUUUAAUUCAAAUAAUAAAAAGAUAUAUAAUCAGCACUGAAUCUUUGAGUCACAAGGUUUAACAUAGACUUAUCUGAAUUAUUCUACAUCCUUGUGACUUGGGAGGGGGACAUGUUUAUUACUUUUUCUUUUACAGCUUGAAAGUAUUCUUUUCAAGUGUUCAUUUUGUCCUGUGCAGCAAUCUCUAAUUCACUCCCUACCCAAAGUUGACUAGAAUACUUUAAUCUAUCAUGAUUAAUAUCAAGGAUUCUAUAAUUAAAACACCUCAUUUUGAUGGGUGGUUUCCUCACUUCCUAUCUGUGACGUUGGGCAAGUUACUUAACCUCUCUAAGCUUAUCUGAGCCUAUUUUAUAGCAUGCACCAAAAAGCUAUUACAUUAUGGCCAUUAUUUUUACUGUAGCUCAGCAUAGCUCUGAAGACUGUUAAACAUUUCACUUUUUAUAAUACUGUUUCUUAGACUUUAUUUGAAUAUAAAGUUUAUACCUUCAUUAGAAACAUUAUUAGAUCACUUUAUCAGUCUGCUUGGGCUGCCAUUAAAAACAUACCAUAGACUAGGUGGAUUAAACAACAGAACUUUAUUUCCUUACAGUUCUGGAGGCUGGAAGUCCAAGAUUAGGAUGUCAGCAGGAUUGAUUUAUUCUCAUGCCCUCCCUCCUUAGCAUGUAAAGACUGUCUUUUUGUGGUGUCUUCAUGUGGUCUUUCCUGUGAGUGUCUGUGUCUUAAUCUGCUCUUGUUAUAUGAAGACAAGCCAUAUUAGAAAAAGGCCGGUCCUAAUUACCGCAUUUAAGUGUAAUUACCUCUUUUAGGGCCCUGUCUCCAAAUACAGUCAUAUUCUGAGGUAUUGGGGGUUAGGACUUCAACAUAUCAAUUUUAGGGAGACACAAUUUAGCCCAAAACAAUCAGUAUCUCUGAAAUGUCUAAAUUCAGGAAUUUAAGAUUUUUUUUUUCAUUGAAUAGAAACAAAAUAAAACUAAACAUCAAUGACAAAGAGAGGCAGAGAGAAUAACUACUAAUGUAAAUGUAAUUUUUUUUUCUGCAUUGGCUUCCCUUGUCUCUUCUUUUCAGUGAAGUCAAUGAAGCCGUUGCCCUACAUUUACUUGUAUUAUACCACAGAAAACCUUCCCUUUGAACCCCAGAGCUUAUAUCAAGGCUAGUUUAACUUGAAUAUGACUAAUUUACCAUGUCUCUUAACAGCAGCUUUUACAAUCUGGCACCUGACCCAGAACCUAUUUCUGGAAGAUUUUAACCUAUGUGUAAACAGCACAUAACAGACACUUUCUCUAAGGCCUAUGAAGGAAUAUAUAAAUUGUUCCAUAUUAAUAAUGAUGAUGAUAAUAGCAAAUCCUUCUAUAGUGCUUUCUACAUGCCAGUCACUAUUCUAAGCACUUCACAGGUAUCUGCUCUUUAUUCCUUUUGUGGGCUUUAAAGUUCCUAUUGUUGAGAAAUGCAACAUUAAUUUUUGUACUGUCAAGAGAUUCCAGGAAGAGAAAUUUUAAAAUGCUGUGGCUUUUGUUGACUGUAUGACCAACCUCCUAUCAACUUAAGAAUAUCUUGCGGAAAAAUGUGAGGUUUUAUAAUUUAUUCAUGAGUUUUUAGUCACUUUUAAUUGGAGACAAUGAAGUGGUUAUACCAAAUAAAAGGCCUACAAAUUAAAUUUACAUUUUUCUAGUCAUUAUACUAAUAUAUGCUUAUCAAGUGCUAAACUUUUUAAAUCAUCUGCAGUAAAAUGCUUAGAGAGAGGAGGGUGAUAGUGCUAAAACUGGUUGAAAAUCUGACACAUAUUAGACAUUAAGGUAACAGACUUGUCCAAGGUCACAGAACUAAAACAUGGUGGAGCUCCCUAAUUCCAUGCUACAAUUUUAAGCUAUUGAUAAUAUCCUGCAAGUUGUUUUAUUACAUAUAAAUCCAAGUGGAGACACUUAGAGAAAUUGAUUAAAAGAAAAACUGUUGAGCAUAAUCAAACAGUACUGUUGAAAGGCUGUUUUAUUUUAUUUGCAGAGCAUUUUAUGUUAGCCACUAUCCUGUUAUAAGGACUUGUUCAUUGUGAGUAUGCGGCACUAUAGUAAUUGGUUAUAAAGAAGAAUGUAGAACAGCAGGUGUACAAUAGAAAUUGCUCUUUGUAGUUUAAAUAAAUUUCUAAGAGCUACCAUAUAUUUAAUUCUUAUUCCAUGAUAGGUACAAGGACUUAGAUUUCUUAAAUCUCAUGCAAAUAAGUACUUUUAAAACCAAUUUUCAGGCUGGACACAGUGGCUCACACCUGUAAUCCCAGCACUUUGGGAGACCUAAGUGGGAGGAUCAUCUGAGGUCAGGUGUUCAAGACCAGCCUGGCCAACAUGGUGAAACCUUAUCUCUACUAAAAAUACAAAAAUUAGCUGGGUGUGUUGGCAUGCACCUGUAAGCCCAGCUACUUGGGAGGCUGAGGCAGAAGAAUUGCUUGAACCUGGGAGGCAUAGGUUGCAGUGAGCCAAGAUUGUGCCACUGCACCCCAGCCUGGGCAACUGAGUAAGACUCUCACUCAAAAACAGAAACAAAAACCAAAGCAAACAAGAAAAAACAAUUUUCUAUGUCUAUGUUGGAUAAAUUUAAAUUUAUUUACUUUCAUAUCAAAACAAACACCUUAAUUUGGGACUAAUGUAAUAGUUUGUAAUUGAUUUUAACCUCCUCCAAAAGAUACUGUAAGAAUAACUCGUAUAUUAAUCAUCCUAAAAUAUAAAAUGUGGUGUCAUUUUCCAGUUUUUAAGAUUUCAUCGUCCUAGGAAUUCAAGUCCAGGCAGCACCGAAUGUCUCUUAACCUUAGUCCACUUAUCUUUCAUGCCUUGGGGCCCACUGUUUCACUUGGUUUCAAAAAAACAACCUGGCUCAGUGUAUUAUUGUAGAUUCCCUAGAGAAAUCCAUCUGCUUUUUCCUCUCUUUUUUCUCACAUGAUUGUCUUGCCUCACAGACCCUUCCAUCAUCUUCCAAGUGAGGAAACCUAUUGAGGUAUCAAGGGCCAACUUCAAUGAAAACUUCCCCGACUUCCUCUGAAUGGAUUUGAGCUCCUCUUCUAAAUUCCUCUAGCUCUUAGUUGUUAUAUGCUAAUAAUAUUGAUCACAUACUAAAGCAUCUCAUUACAUUUCAGUGCAGAAAUAAUCCUGCUUAUUAUCAUAUAGAUCCUAUCAUAUAGAUCUAUAGAUCAUUAAGCACUGUGUCUGUUACACAAAGGAAAUUUUUGAUAAAUAUUUCUGGGGAAAAGGCAAUCAGAAAAUGGGAAGUAAUAAAAGAAUGACAUUUGGUGCUGUGUCCUUCCUCUUAUUUCUAAAAUAAAAUACAUAAAAAUUUGGUUUUUGCUAACAUAACCAUCUGAAGUGAUAUGACAGGCCUUUGGCUAACUAUCUAAUGAUAUACUAGCAAUUCACAAAAAUUUGGGGAAAAUGAACAUAUAUUCACUAAUUCACAAGUAGUCACCCAUGCUAGAUUAGAAGAUGAAGAAUUGAGUAAAAAGUGGAACCUAUUUUAAUUAUGUUACAGCCUACUGAUAAAUAAAUAAUCCCAGUAUGGAGUGGUAAGUCCCAUAAUAAAUAUCUACAGAGAGGUCUCUGGAAGCACAAGGAAGGACCGUCUGGGUUUGACAGGGGAUAUUAGAAAAAGUUUCAAAGAACACAUGACAUUUGUUCAAAAUCUUGAAGGAUGGAGAUGAGUUUGCCAAGCAGAAAAGAAUAAAACAUUAUUUUAUCACUUGAGAAAGGGCCUGCCCAUAGUUGGUAAAUUCAGGAUGUGAUAUUUGGAGAGAGAGGAUAUUAUGGGGUGAGAAAGGAAGGGAGUAGCCAUGUUGGGGAGGAAUCAGAGAGCCAUGCUAACAAGUUUAACUUUAAUUGCAUGCAAGACUGACAGCCAUUAAAAGGUUUUAGGCAGGAAAGUGAUGUGAUCAGAGCUACAGUAUGCUGAAGAAUAAAUUAAUGUGAUGAGCCAAAAUCAGAUGCAGGGAGGUUACGGGACUGCAGCAAAGCUUCAGGGAAAGGCAGUAGUAAUAGGAUGUGCAGGAAAAAGUAAUGCAGAUUGCAGAAACUUAAAAUGGGUGAAAGAAAGAGAGAGAGGCAAAAGAUUGACUGUGGCUUACAGUUUUUGAUAAAUAAUAAUGCCAAAAAUCAAGAUCUGGAUUAAGAGGGAGAUCUAGUGUGAGGAAGAAAGAAAAUCAGUUAGCAUUGCAGGUUUUUAUCUGAUUCUGUAAAAUCAACAACUGUCCAGUAAGCAGUUAUAAAUAUUUUUCUGGCAUGAGUUGAGACUCAGCUAAAGAUAUAUAUUCCAAAACCAAUAGUUUAAGCGUGGAGGUAAAAACCUCCAUGCAUAGAGGUAUAUGAAAUUGGCUAUGGACAUUUUUGAGAGAGAAAAGGGCUAAGUAUAGAGUCCACAAAGAAGACUAAAAGGAAGGUUUUGAACUCAGCUGAAAACUAAGGAAAAAAUAUUGUCAUGAGAAAGAGUGAAGACAGUUUUAAAGAGAAUGUGCUAUGGUUUGGAUGUGGAUUGCCCUCAUCAAAAUUCAUGUUGAAAUUUGAUCCCCAAAAUGUCAGUGUUAGGAGGCAGGACCUAAUGGGAGGUAUUUGGUUCAUGUAGGUGGAUCCCUCAUGAAUAGAUUAAUGCUUUCUCCCAGGAGUGAGUUCUUUCUUUCAAGGGAAUGGAUUAGUUUCCACAAGAGCAGGUUGUUAAAAAGAGUUUGCUUCAUCUGUUUCUCUCUCUUGCUUUCUCUCUUGUCUUGCAAUCUCUGCACAUGCCUGCCCCUCUUCCAUUAUCUUCCAUGAGUGGAAUCAGCCUGAGGACCUCAACAGAUGCACCUGCCCAAUCUUAAACUUUCCAGCAAUCUGAAUUGUGAGCCAAAUAAUUUUUUUAUAAAUUAUCCAGCUUCAAGUAUUAUACCAACAAAAAAAAGGUAAGCAACAAAAAAUCAAGUGAGACAAAAAGUCUCCAUAGUUCUUGAUACCAUGAAACAUACAAAGGAAGAAUUAGGAAGAUACAAAGGGAAGACAAGGGCUUCAAGGACACUUUUACAGGUGAUAUAUACAUAUAGACUCUCAACUGUGAUUAUGAUUUUACAGGUAUAUGCAUAUGCUCAAACUAAUCUAAUUGUAUACAUACAUUUAGUUUUAUAUGUUUGAUAUGUGAAGUUCUGAAUAUCAAUCAUACAUCGAUAAAGCUGCUUAAAAAAUAAAAAUAAAAAAUAGAAGCAUACAACAAGUCAACUGGCACUUAAAUUAGAUAGUGGAAUUCUGUGUGUCACUUAAUCUUUAUCACUUAUUUUAAAUUUAAAGUCAUAUUAUUGUCUGUAUCUAGACCAAGAACUUUUCAUAAGACAAGAUGUACUAUUACAUCUUGUAUAUAUAAAUGUAUAUAUAAAAAUUCAGCAGAGAACAUUUAUCAUGUAUCUAUUUCCUAUAGACUUCUGGACAUUUGGAGGUAUUUUAGAAAAAAUAUAAUAGUCACAAACUCAAUUCAAAAGAAGUUAUUAUUCAUUAAAAAACUCUCCUAUUUUUUCCAUGUGGCAUGGUAAUUUAGUUUGUAUCAAGAAGCUCUGAUAUAGGGUCCAUUUACUUCAUCAAGCAUCUAACUAGCAUCUAAAAAUGGAUGCUUUCUGUCCUUCACACAAUUGAACUUAUCUGUGGCAACCGUCAAUCUUCCUAAGGUGGCUCCCAGGAGACUACCAAUCGUCACACAAAGCAGAGCCCCAGAAGUCUUUGUGUGCUACUAACUGAUCAGAUUAUGUUAUUUAUUCCUGUCAUUCUCCAUUUCUUUCACUGCUACUGACCGUAUAAUAGGCUGGCAGACAGCUCUGCAUUUAUCACUCCUCCAUCUAUAAGAAAAAGGAUCAUAAUUUAGAGUAACUCAUGUAACUGGUACGAUGAAUUUCACAGGGGUUUGCUUGACUCCGUUUUACUGAUUCUAACAUUCAUAUUGGUCUGAACCACCCCUUUAUUCCUAGGAACUUUUCAGUGUAUGUGGAGGAUCUUCAUAUUUUCUUAUGCAACACAAGCCAAGUCUCCACGAUGUGCAUGAAAAAUUAUAAUAUAUCUCUAUUGUUGUUUUUUUUUGUGUUUAACUCAGUGAGCUAUAUAAAUUUUUUUCAUUUGAAGAUAAUAUUCUAUUUUUUUAAGCUGAAGAAACUUCAAACUACAACUUGUGAAAUGUUAUUACUUCAGUGAAACUCAUUUAUUCUUAUUAUUCCAUAUUUUUUUUUUUUUUUGGGACGGAGUCUAGCUCUGGCGCCAGGCUGGAGUGCAGUGGCAUGAUCUUGGCUCACUGCAACCUCCACCUCCUGGGUUCAAGUGAUUCUCCUGCCUCAGCCUCACAAGUAGCUGGGAUUACAGGUGUGCACCACCACACCCAGCUAAUUUUUGUAUUAUUAGUAGAGAUGGGGUUUCACCAUGUUGGCCAGGAUGGUCUCAAUCUCUUGACGUCGUGACCCACCUGCCUUAUCCUCCAAAAGUGCUGAGAUUAUAGGCAUGAGCCACAAGCCCAGCCGACAUUAUUUUUUAUAUCGUAAUUGCUCUCCAGAGCUUUAUACAAGGAAAUGCAAUGAGUCAAUAUACUUACUGAGAUUGCAGAAGAGACUGAACACUGCGCUAGGCUCUGAAGAGAAAGAUGAAAAAGAAGAAAGUGCUCCUGAGUAUAUGACUACUUGUACUUGCUAGCACUGAGGCAAGUACAAACUCUAGGCAUCAGGCUUUUGGUCUCACUCUUAGCGAAUUUGAACACUGGCUUUUUUGUUGGGCUUCCAUUCUUCUCUCAGCGCAAGAAUACCAACGUUUAUGACCCAGGAAGCACCAACUUAUACUUCACAGAGCUAAGAAACAGCAUUUCGCCAUGUCACGCAGGCUGGUCUUCAACUCCUGGACUCAAGCUAUCCACGGGCCUCGGCCUCCCAAAGUGCUAGGAUUACAGGCAUGAGCCACUAUGUCCGGCUUGGAGUUUUUAGUCUCAUCAAACCAACUCACCCAAAUGUCCCUUGGUGACAAAAAGUUUUCUGAAAGAUUAAGUAAUCUUUGUUUCCCAAGCCUGACAAAAUAAAAAGUUUUCUGUCUCUCUCUUUCUCUUUUGCACUGUUUCUCUUUAAGUCUUGUUAGAAUACAGAACUGUAGACAUUUAGACAGAGCCAGGGUCAUUGUCUUGACUGGCCCACUGACCAGAUUAGUAAUUCUUAAACUAGGGUCCCUAGACCAGCACCACAGGCAUCUGUGGGCUUGUUAGAAAUGCACAUCCUUGGACCACUGAAUCAGAUAUUUUGAGAGUGGGCUCAAUAAUCUCUGUUUUGAGAAGACCCCCAAGUAAACCUGAUGCACAGUAAUUGUUGAGAAACACUGAAUAAAUUGUAUACCAUUAGCCUGUUUUUAAAAAUCAUCUGAGCCAUUCCUUUAUUAUAUGAGAUGACCAUUAAAAUCUCACUCAGUUUUAUCAUAUAAUGAAACAUUUGGUGAUAGCAUAAAACUCUAUUUUGAUGGCUCAGUUUUUAUGAUUUCCUUUGAUAUAAUUGUUUCCUUAAGAAGGUGCCAGUUUUGAAAAGGAAACUGUUUUGUUCCCUUUUGUACAGCACAAGCUAAGGAUCUAUGAUGGAAUGAUAAUUAAUCUGUAAACUAUAAUUAUGUUGUCGAUUCUGGCUGUAUAUGGGGCAUACCUGAUUCAUCUGCUACUUGAUGUCCUGCAUGACCAUCACCAGACACCAAGCAGCAGAACAAGACCAUGGACCACAGAGUCCUGGAAAUGUCUACCUCCUGAGCUGAGCCACCACCAGGAAUGGUGUCAGUAAAUGCAUGAGCACCAGAGUAUUUUGAAUGAAAGGAAAAAAGUGCAAUUCAGGAUAUGACUCCCUACCCCAGCCUACUAGCAGAUCCCAAAUGUUGUCAUAAUCCAGUAAAAUAUAACACUACCAAGUUGUGAGGCACUGAGAAACCAUUGCAGGUGAUAGCCAACUGUGUGUUCCCAACUCUGAGCAGUUCUGCCUGUCAGAAUCUUCCCAUCUCAGUCCCCACCCACCUCUUCAGCCUCAUGUUUCCUCAAGCCUUUCUUCAGAUUGACCACACUUCACUUCUGUGUCUACGAGGAUUUGCCUUGUCACUAAAAUUGUUAUGUUACAAUAGGGCCCCAUAUCCAUUAGGUAAUUGGCUUUGUCAUCACCUUCACUUCUAGUUACUUUCUUGGAAUGUUAAAUGAAACAUUCUUGCCUUAAUAGUAACAUCAGUUCCUACAUAUCUUCCUUGUGUGUGUUUGGUUGGCUGAUUGUCACUUUCUACUCUGAAUGUUGAAUCAGACUGCCACUUUCUACUCUGAAUGUUGAAUCACCUUCUUGCUCUGCCCUCUACUUGCAUUUUCUUGUCUACUUACCUGUCCACUUAUCUUUUGAUCUUUUUGCCUCCCCUUCUUUGGGCAUCCCUGUCCUUCAGCUUGCCUGGAUAUGACUUCUAGCCUUGUGUGAUCUUGGAUAUGUGUGCGUAGCCCAAAGUUAUACCAUUCAACAGACUCCAAUGUCAUUAAAGGGAUCUUGUUCCACCAUGUAUUUUUCUGCCUUUUCCCCUAAAUUACCAAAAUUUUUGGCCUGUUAACAUUUCUGUCUCUGUAUACAGAUCAUAGUCCUUUAAUGUACUUUACUACAUGCAGAAAUUCUAUUGAUUUGGAUUCAAGUCUUUCAUAUUUGGCAUUGCUUUGCAAUUCACUUGCUCUUUUAUAGACCCAUUUUGACAGUUCUCAAGAAGGCUGGUGAAACAAGCCUGGCUGUGAUUUGGGCUGCAAUUCUUUCUUUCUCUCCGUGAGAAAUCUUUGUAGCACUGUAGUCAAAGCUGCAUACAGAAUUGUCUGACCAGCUGCUGUCCAUGGAUAGAGCCAAGGCACCAGGCUGACCUCAUACCUAAGAAGCAGUUAUUCAGAAGUUGUACAUGAUUAUCAAAGAUGGAAUUUAUCUCUACCUAGGGCUAAAAGUUUAGGCAGUUCUGUACUGAUUACUUUUUUCAGUCACAUCAAACUCAUCCUCAUACAGAAUAAAAUAAAAUAAGUUUUUCGUGUGCCUGUCUUGCUUUGGGAAAUGAAGAAAUGAGAGUAAGUAUCAUCUUGUUUAUGAAGAGCAAAUACUAUGAUUAAAAAUCAAGAUUAAAAACCUCACACUGUUCAGGACAACUGGAUCACAAGAAUAUUUUGGUUUCAAGUAUCACUGAAUUUUAUUAAUCUCUCUAAGAAAACUUUAUACAAAUAAUAAUUAAGCCUUGGAUUUGCUGAAUGGAUGUUGGAAAAUAGUAAGGUAAAGAGAGGCCAGCAAUCUCUUUUGAACUACUAGCCUUCUGGACCAGUGUGACUCUGCCUUUGAUGAGGAGUACAGGAGGAGGAGAAAGACUUUUAAGAAGAUUGAGCACUUGUCAUAAAACAAGACUGCUAGGGACAUACAUAGCAUGGUUGAAAAAAUGACUUUUGGAGUCUCACUAUGGUCUGUACUAGCGCUAACAACAAAUGAAAAUACAAUGUGGGCCAAUUUGUAAUGUUUAAUGUUCUAAUAGCCACAUUAAUAUAUGUGAAUAAUCUGAUAAAAUUAAUUUCAACAAUAUAUUUUAUUUACCCAAAUAUGGAUGAAAUUAUUAUCCAACAUAUAAUCAAUGUAAAAUGUUUUUAAUGAAAUACUUUCAUUUAAAAAAAUUUGAACUAAGUUUUUGAAAUCCAGUAUGCAUUUUAAACUUGCAGCACAUCUCAGUUCAGACUAACUAUAACUCAAGUACUCAAUAGCACCUGUAGCCAGGGGCUCCCCUAUUGAACAGUGUAAUUUUGGUCCCAUAGCAUCCUCCAUUGACCAAGCAAUGAAGAAAAAAGUCCAACUAUGGUCCAGGAAAAAUAUCCAGUGCUGGCUGUGUCUAUAUUCUAAUAGUGAAUGCAUAGGUCAUCAUACAUAGUACAUGAUAAGCACUAGGAAUUGGGAAGACAAUAGUUAACGUCAUAUCUCUAUUUUGCAAUAGAACUCUAUAAACAGACAUCUUGAUGUUACAAAUUUUCUAUGUGGUUGAUGAUGUAGUUAAGUUAGGAAAAGUAGAGCCAAGCCGUGCCUCCAGAGAUAAGUCUUUUAGUUAACUUGAUCCUCUGGAAAAACAUUCUCUAUGAUGAAAGCUCAAAUGGUUCUUGCCCAUGUCUAAUACAUUGUGAGGUUUGGCUCUAUGUCCCCACCCAAUCUCAUGUUGAAUUGUAAUCCCCAUGUAUUGGAGGAAGGGCCUGGUGGGAGGUGAUUGGAUCAUGGGAGCGGAUUUCCCCCUUGCUGUUCUUGUGAUGGUCAGUGAGUUCUCAUGAGAUCUGAUGGUUUAAAAAUGUGUAGCACUUCCCUGUUUGCUCCCUCACUCUCCUGCAACCAUGUGAAGAAUGUGCCUUGCUUUCCCUUUGCCUUCUGCCAUGAUUGUAAGUUUCCUCAGGCUUCCCAGCCAUGCUUCCUGUUAAGCCUAUGGAACUGUGACUCAAUUAAACCUCUUUUC
rnacentral:lncRNA from 1 species